ensembl:lncRNA
UGUAGAUGAGGAAUGUGAGGAGAUAGAGAUAGUUGUUGUAUAGAUAGAUAGUGGGUAGCAUGAUAGUUGAUAGCGACGUAGAUUAGUUGAUAGCGACGUAGAUUAUGAGAUAGAUAGCUGAUGGUGGUAUAAAGGUAGUGAACAGAUAGCAGAUAGGUGGGUUAUUGUUAGAGAAGUAGUUUGUGGAUAGCAAGGUAGUUAGCAGUAAGCAAGAGUUAGUAGUGAUGUAGUUAGAUCAUAGCCAGAUAGCUGAUAGGGGGAUGCAGGAUAGAAAGAUGGGUGACUGAAAGGUAGUUAAUUUAUAGAGUAUGAUAUAGAAAGUUGCUAAAAAGAAUCUCUGUUUCAGAUGUGCUACUGCAUCCUGGGAUACCACUCUCCCCGCCAGCAUGGGGUGAAGAGCAACACCUGAUGCUGCCCCAGUGCUGGCAGAAGAACAGCAGCUCUGCAGAGACCCGUCCUGCCAGCAGAGCAUCACGGAGAAGAAGACGCGCCUUCUGCUCACAGGAAGAUGAGCCACGGAGUCCUGGGACACCACUCUCCCCUCCAGCAUGUGAUGAGGACCAACGCCUGAUGCUGCUCCAGCGCCGGCAGAAGAACAGCAGCUCUGGGAACACCCGUCCUGCCAGCACAGCAUCACAGGGAAGAGGACGCACCUUCUGCUCAGAGCGAGGUAUGGCUGUGUGUGUGCGCAUGGCCCAGCUCCCAGCACCUCCUCCUGGCUGGGAGGGGCGUUCCCAUGAGGUGAGCCUGGGGCAGCCGAGGAGGUGAGGAUGGCCAGAGACGUUCUGCAUCUUCAUCACUGAGGGCACAUCUCGGGUGGAAACACCGGCGGGGCUCUGACAGUCUCUGAAUGCUUUGCCCUGAAUUGGAGGUUGAAACCAAAUCACAGAUGUUUUUCUAUACAGUUACUCUUCUCCUGUAAGCCGAGCUUUGACAGAGUUGAUGUCCAAAACAGCCGAGGAAGAACUGGACUGAAGAGGAGAGCGCCAGCUGACAGCGCCCGUCUGGUGUGAUGUGCCCAGAGAGAGACUCGUCCAGCAAGAGAUAGAGUAGAUAGGGAGCAUAGGGACCCAGUUAGCUCUAAAAUGUCUUAGUAGUGCAGUUGUAAGAAAGCUCUGUAAAUAAAUUGUAUGCCAUUGUUUUCAUAUCCUUACACUGUGUCCAAAACUGUGUUUGUUCGUAGUCCGAUAUGCCUAGAAAUAAAUGACAGAACAAUAAAUCUUUUCC